rnacentral:misc_RNA from 1 species
CGCACCUUGCGCUCCCUGGUAUUCCGGGGAGCAUGCCUGUUUGAGUGUCGUGAAGUCAUCAGGGUCAUGAUCUUUAAUUAAUCAUGGCUUGGAUUUGGAGGUUAUGUUGGCUUUCAGUCGACUCCUCUUAAAUGUAUUAGCUCAGUGUUUAAUGCUUAGAGCGGUUCACGGUGUGAUAAAUUAUCUACACUUCAACUAAUCUAAGUUAGCUGGCUUCUAAUAGAUCCUUUGUGAUCACUUUGUGUAUUUGACCUCAAAUCAGGUAGGACUACCCGCUGAACUUAA